CCUCAGCACAGAGACACUCCAGUUCUUUCACUGCAGGACCUGAUCCACACAACCAUCUCACCAAAGAUGUCUUAUGGAUGGAACCCGUGCUACUCCAGCUGCCCUCCCUCCACCGUGACCAUUCAGCCACCACCCUUUGUCCUGACCAUCCCUGGGCCAGCACUCUACUGCCCUGACCAGCCGCUUUGCAUCGAUCAAUACAACCCUUGUGAGCGUAUGAUCCCCUACAAGGGGGGCGUGAGUUCCACAAGCAUCUAUUCUCACAAAUAUCAGUCCAAAAGCCAGAGAGGAUGCAGCCCUUGCCAGCAAUACUAAAUCCGGAAGCCACCAUCCAUAGAAUGAAUAUGAUGAAGAGAUAUAUGAAGGAAGAAACCAAGAUGUUUGAUCUGCUGAAUGUGAAGGCAUUCUAGAAAUGCCUGUUUAACAUCUGCACUCCUUGCAUUAUAGGCCAGGAAAGAAGCUGUCUCCCUCCCUUUUCUGCAUCUGCUGAGAAACUCAGGUGCAGCUGUCAUCAACAACAGUGCAACACUUCAGAUUCUGGGUCAUGGUCUAGGGGCACCUUCUUUUCUUCUUGGGCACUGGUGAAGCUGGUGUGGUCUCACUGUUACCCUGAUUAUGUUCAAAAUGUGCCUCAGAUUAAAUCCAGUGUUCCUCUGUGGUUGCAAUUGUUGGGGAAGACAGGUGGGUGGGUCAUCCUAGGUUCACAUACAACCAUUGAAUCCUAUUUUGUUUUUAAAAUCUAGUGCAUUGCUUAAAACAAUUUCAAGUAAGCUUUGUUCAGUGUUCUCUGUAUUCCUUUAAGUGGAGCGUGAAUAAGCACUUCUGUGCUAUAUGAAAAUUCAAACUGUGGAAUUUCAAAAUAAAGUCCUUACUGCAUCAAAA